GACUACUGGGGUAUCUAAUCCUGUUUGCUCCCCACGCUUUCGAGCCUCAGCGUCAGUUAUCGUCCAGUAAGUCGCCUUCGCCACUGGUGUUCCUCCUAAUAUCUACGCAUUUCACCGCUACACUAGGAAUUCCACUUACCUCUCCGACACUCUAGCUAAGCAGUUUCCAAUGCAGUCCCGGGGUUGAGCCCCGGGUUUUCACAUCAGACUUGCCUUGCCGCCUACGCUCCCUUUACACCCAGUAAAUCCGGAUAACGCUUGCCCCCUACGUAUUACCGCGGCUGCUGGCACGUAGUUAGCCGGGGCUUCUUAGUCAGGUACCGUCAUUUUCUUCCCUGCUGAUAGAGCUUUACAUACCGAAAUCCUUCUUCGCUCACGCGGCGUCGCUGCAUCAGGCUUUCGCCCAUUGUGCAAUAUUCCCCACUGCUGCCCCCCGUAGG
rnacentral:rRNA from 1 species